GGGCGAAAGCCUGACGGAGCAACGCCGCGUGAGGGAAGAAGGCCUUCGGAUUGUAAACCUCUGUCCUUGGGGACGAAAAAAAUGACGGUACCCAAGGAGGAAGCUCCGGCUAACUACGUGCCAGCAGCCGCGGUAAUACGUAGGGAGCGAGCGUUGUCCGGAAUUACUGGGCGUAAAGGGUGCGUAGGCGGCUAGGCAAGUCAGAUGUGAAAUCCCCGGGCUUAACUCGGGAGUUGCAUUUGAAACUGCUUGGCUUGAGUGCAGGAGAGGAAAGCGGAAUUCCUAGUGUAGCGGUGAAAUGCGUAGAUAUUGGGAGGAACACCAGUGGCGAAGGCGACUUUCUGGACUGUGUCUGACGCUGAGGCGCGAAAGCCAGGGGAGUGAACGGGAUUAGAUACCCCGGUAAUCCUGGCCGUAAACGAUGGGUACUAGGUGUAGGAGGUAUCGACCCCUUCUGUGCCGGAGUUAACGCAAUAAGUACCCCGCCUGGGGAGUA
rnacentral:rRNA from 1 species